AUUGAACGCUGGCGGCAUGCCUUACACAUGCAAGUCGAACGGCAGCACGGGAGCAAUCCUGGUGGCGAGUGGCGAACGGGUGAGUAAUAUAUCGGAACGUGCCCAGUCGUGGGGGAUAACGCAGCGAAAGCUGUGCUAAUACCGCAUACGAUCUAAGGAUGAAAGCGGGGGAUCGCAAGACCUCGCGCGAUUGGAGCGGCCGAUAUCAGAUUAGCUAGUUGGUGGGGUAAAGGCCCACCAAGGCGACGAUCUGUAGCUGGUCUGAGAGGACGACCAGCCACACUGGAACUGGGACACGGUCCAGACUCCUACGGGAGGCAGCAGUGGGGAAUUUUGGACAAUGGGCGCAAGCCUGAUCCAGCAAUGCCGCGUGCAGGAUGAAGGCCUUCGGGUUGUAAACUGCUUUUGUACGGAACGAAACGGCCCUUUCUAAUACAGGGGGCUAAUGACGGUACCGUAAGAAUAAGCACCGGCUAACUACGUGCCAGCCGCCGCGGUAAUAC
rnacentral:rRNA from 1 species